GACAGAGGUGCCAAGCGUUAGGCGGAAUUACUGGGCGUAAAGCGUGCGCAGGCGGCCUCUUAAGUCAGAUGUGAAAUCCCCGGGCUCAACCCGGGAACUGCGUCCGAGACUGGCAGGCUCGAAUCCGGGAGAGGGAUGUGGAAUUCCAGGUGUAGCGGUGAAAUGCGUAGAUAUCUGGAGGAACACCGGUGGCGAAGGCGGCAUCCUGGACCGGUAUUGACGCUGAGGCGCGAAAGCCAGGGGAGCAAACGGG
rnacentral:rRNA from 1 species